CGGGGGGCUGCAGUAACGAAUCUUGGGCAAUGAGCGAAAGCUUGGCCCAGCGACGCCGCGUGUAGGAGGAAGUCCUUCGGGAUGUAAACUACUGUCAGGGGGACGAAAGUGCGCUUCGGCGCAUUGAUCGAACCCAGAGGAAGUCACGGCUAACUUCGUGCCAGCAGCCGCGGUAAGACGAAGGUGGCAAGCGUUGUUCGGUAUCACUGGGCUUAAAGCGUGUGUAGGCGGAAGCGCCAGCGUUUUGUGAAAUCCCCCGGCUCAACCGGGGAAUUGCUUGACGAACUGCGCUUCUUGAGGCAGGUAAGGGUGCGCGGAACUCUUGGUGGAGCGGUGGAAUGCGUAGAUAUCAAGAGGAACGCCGGUGGUGAAGACGGUGCACUGGGCCUGACCUGACGCUGAGACACGAAAGCGUGGGGAGCGAACGGGAUUAGAUACCCCGGUAGUCCACGCCGUAAACGAUGUCUACUAGGUUGUGGCGGUUCUGACGCCGGCACAGCCGAAGCAAAAGUGUUAAGUAGACCGCCUGGGGAGUACGGUCGCAAGGCUAAAACUCAAAGGAAUUGACGGGGGCUCACACAAGCGGUGGAGCAUGUGGAUUAAUUCGAAGCAACGCGCAGAACCUUACCUGGGUUUGACAUGCUUGGAUGCCGCCCUGGAAACAGGGUUGGCUGCCUUCGGGUGAAACUUGCACAGGUGCUGCAUGGCUGUCGUCAGCUCGUGUCGUGAGAUGUCGGGUUAAGUCCUUUAACGAGCGAAACCCUUACCGUUAGUUGCCAGCGGGUCAGGCCGGGGACUCUAACGGGACUGCCGGUGUUAAACCGGAGGAAGGUGGGGAUGACGUCAAGUCAUCAUGGCCUUUAUGCCCAGGGCCUCACACGUGCUACAAUGGUCGGGACAGAGCGACGCGAGACCGUGAGGUGGAGCCAAUCGCAAAAACCCGGCCCCAGUUCGGAUUGCAGGCUGGCAACUCGCCUGCAUGAAGGUGGAAUCGCUAGUAAUCGCGUAUCAGCUAUGACGCGGUGAAUGUGUUCCUGAGCCUUGUACACACCGCCCGUCAAGUGAUGGGAGUUGGGAGUACCCGAAGUCGGGUUGCUAACCC
rnacentral:rRNA from 1 species